rnacentral:misc_RNA from 1 species
GAUGAAGAACGGAGCGAAAUGCGAUAAGUAAUGUGAAUUGCAGAAUUCAGUGAAUCAUCGAAUCUUUGAACGCACAUUGCGCCCGCCAGUAUUCUGGCGGGCAUGCCUGUUCGAGCGUCAUUUCAACCCUCAAGCCCAGCUUGGUGUUGGGGAUCGGCACAGGCGCCCUCGGGCGCCAGCCGUCCCCUAAAUCUAGUGGCGGUCCCGCUGCAGCCUCCUCUGCGUAGUAGUUUUCUCCUCGCAAGGGCAGCUCGGUGGCGACCUCGCCGUAAAACCCCCAACUUCUGAAAGGUUGACCUCGAAUCAGGUAGGAAUACCCGCUGAACUUAAGCAUAUCAAUAAGCGGAGGA